UUUGGCUUGACCAGAAGCAGGAAGAGUAGGAAAUGUUAUUUUAAAAAGUCCCGUUUUUCACACUGCUGAUGUCUGGAGAGUCGAGAUAAGCUUUGAGCCUACUUCCAAAUCUCUGGGUGCUCCUCCAAGCGUGCUGGAAAUGGGGGUGUGAAACAUAGCUUGCUGAGCUGUCAAGAGGCAAGAUAAGGCAUUUGCAAUUGGCGGUGUUUCAAAGGACUCCAGAUAUCUCCAAAGAACCUAGAUUUCCCAGCAGACAAUGAGGUCCUCCACCAGUGCUUCCUAGAACCUGGGGACAACACAGUUGCUAUGCAGCCAAUCCAUGCCCUGGAUGCAAGUUUCGCAGGCUCCAGUAUCAUUCUGGUCAUUCCUCUGCAAAACACUACUGAAAAAGCAGUUACGCAUGGGAUCUUGAAUUUUCCUGCAAAAAAAAUGUAUUUGUAAGCCCUGGAUCUAGAGAUCUAGAGGCCUAUUGGUUAAUAAUUAAGAGGGUGUGUGUGUGUGCGUGCAUGUGUGUAUGUGGGUGAUCCAAUACAUAAGGUGAUUUAUAAAAUACAAUACUGCCAAAAAAAGUCUCUUUUAAUGCCCUAAGACUUAAGAGAGCUGCAGUCUUUUGUUUUGUUUUGUUUUGUUUGCUGUUGUUGUUUGGUCUAAUUUAAAAAUAGUCUCUUCUAAGCCAUUAAGAGAAAUAGAUACAGUAGAGCGAGUCCAGGGCUGUGAGGCAAGAGAACUAGUUUUAACCCUGCAGCGGGCUGGCUAACACUUAGCAAUUCAUUCUACCCUUCAAUGGAAGACUAAACUAAGCUGAACGUACCCUGUUUUCUUUCAGCUAUAAAACUAUGCCUUCUGAAUAUUAAUAGCCAGAUUUGUACCUACCAAGUAAAGAAUGAAGGAAUUUGUAAAGGAAUUUAAGUCCAAUGUCUUCAUGGCUUUAAUAAUCUGAGCCAUUUUCUCACUCACUUUACUACUCAGCUUAGAGAGACUCCAAUUUGCUCUGUCUCACCUCAGACAAAGCCUCUCGAAAUGUUGGUCAGACCUUCAGCGGGAGCAGUCAAGCAGCAAUCAUUGUAAUUGGUAGGAACUAACAUUUAAGAACCUGCCCUGUACUUUCACUGCUUAAUGUGCUCUCUCUAUAUUAACUAAUUUCAUCUUCAUAACAGUCGCAGGAUUUAUAUACAUUCAUAUAUUGUAAGUAGUCCCAUUUUGAGGAUGAGCAUACUGAGGUACUAAAAGCCUAAAAUUGUUUCUCCUGUAAAUGUGUUGCACUGACAACCAGCCAAUCUGCUUCUCGGUGCAAAUCUGAUGAACCCAAGCCAGAUUCUAGAAAGUGUGUUCAUCCUUAGAGUCUACCUUCAGCCACAGUGAUUACUGAAUUACUGUCUGGAUACUGAACAGUUCUAUUAUAAAGAAAUCUUAAAAAAAAAAAUCUCCUUCCCCAGUGACCUAAUAAAGAGUGCUCUGUGCCCAACGGCCUACUCUUGGCCAUCUUCACCAGCCAGCCACACUUCAGGCACUGCCUGAAGGGUGCAAGCCAGGACCCAGUUCCAAGCUGUGCAACUUUGACUUAUGAGAUGGAGGAGGGGGAUGAGAGCAUGUGAUGGGGCCUUUGACAAAGGAAAGAGCUAGUUCUUGGUUACUGAACAUGAGCCCCAGGUUCCUAAAAGCAUAAACUGUUCUUGUUCUUCUCAUAUUAUACAAUUUUUAUUUAGUAGCUAAAUAAUAAGCAAAGCAUUAUAUAAUCAUGUGUUAGUGACUUAUUUCAAUUUUGCUACCAAGAGAAGAAAAAUUGUUAUCAAAAUGCAGAGCAUAAAUCUUGGAACUGUCAUUUGGAUGUGUCACACCAAUGUGUUUGGUGAUAUGAACCUACUAUGUGCAGACGUAGGGUUUACAGUCACAAGUAGAACACGACUUGGGUGGGCCCUGCUCUCUUGGAGCUCAGGCAAAGGCCAAAACUCCAAUGAUGACGUUUUACUAAUUACUGAAGACAAAGUGUUAUGAACAUGGCUUGAUUACUAAUCGCUCUGCUCUCUUCUGAAAAGAUAUAUUUCAUUUGAAUAACAGAAAAUCCUUUGAAGCAAAUGUCACAAGGUAAAAGUCAUAUUGGUUUUUAAGCAUAUACAACUUGGGAUAGUUAGUUAAGCAUUGACCCGGAACAGGGGUGAGAAACGGGCAGUAUUUAAGAGCAUGCGCAGCCCUCUCAGAACUCAUUACAUGUCAACAUUCCGAUGUAACAAAGCCAGGAAUUUUCUUUUCGCAUUUGACCAUUUCCCUUUUAAGAGAUAUAGGUAUAUUUAGAAGAAAUUGAAGCCCAGAGAAGUUAAGUGAGUUGCCUAAGGUGCCCCAGCUAGUAACUCAGAGUUAGGAUUCUAAUUCACUUUUUCUGACAGCUACACCAGUUGUUCCUAGUUGACAGGUACAUGGCUGUUUCUAAUUGUCCCAUCUUUCCAUCCAUAAGAGUUACAAGGAUUUCUUUCCUCUUGGUUUUUGUGUAGGAUAACUAAAUAAGAUUUCUCAAUCAUAUUUUUAAGUACUAAAAAUAGAUUAUCCAUAUUAUUCGUAUAAAUAUUUAAAAAUACAAGAAAAUAAUAACUUACAACAUACCAGUUAUAAAUCUCUGUUAACAUUUUCUUAUAUAUCCUUCCAGUCUACCUUCUUUUUCUAUAUAUCUUCAUAUGGAUUUUCAAAUAAGUAGGUUUUCUUUGUUUUGUUUAAAAUCGUUUCGAAUUGCUCUAGAAUAAAGAGGAGUUACCUUUUUAUAUAAAAAAUGAUCUAAAACUAUAAUUUAAAUCCUUUGGGAUACCUUCAAAAUUAUCCUAACAUUAAAUACCAAAUAAGACUCCAUAGUACACAUCCUACAAUGUUUGGUUACUUGUGAGUGAGUGAGCAAGUGUGUGUGUGUGUGUGUGUGUGUGUGAAAUGUAUCUUAUUCAACCAACAAUAUAAUCUAAGUAUAUUUCCAUGUCAUUAAAUAUUGUUGUACAUUAUUUUACAUCCUUUAAUAAUACUUAAUUAUACUAAGUACCAUAAUUUAUUAACAUAUUCCUCAUUUUAAACAUUUAGGAUGCUUUCAAAUUUUUUAUUCUCAUAAAUGACACUUGAAGUAAGGUCUAGAUGAACAGCUUAUAUAACUAAAUGUUUAUACAUAUUUAUAAUUUUUUCUUGAGCUUAAAUUCCAAAAAGUAGAAUUUUAGAGUGGAAGGUAUAAAAAUUUACAAAAUUUAAAAAUACUUUAUGUCCAAACUACCUUUAGAAAAGUUGCAUCUCUGUACAUCCCACCAGUGAUAUAUAUAUGUAUGCAUGUAUAUGUGUAUAUAUAUAUAUAUAUAUAUUCUGUCACCAAUAUUAAAUAUUAUACUAUGCUCUCUUCUCCACUUUGACAAUUUUAUAUGCAAAAUGCAGCUAAUUUCUUUAAAUCAGCAUUCAUUAAUUUAUAGGGAAGUUAAACUUAUAUUUAUUGGUCAUUUGUAUUAUUUUGAUUAUUUCAUGUCUAUAGGAUGCCCUUUUCUUAAAACUAUUUGUGAAAUGAUCUUCAUUGUAAAUUUUUCUAUGUUGUAGGCUUUAUAGCCUAUCAACGGUCAAACUCUAAUCAGCAACUCAGAUCAAUAUAAAAACUAAUGUCUUGAAGAUGGGUUUUGUGAGAAGAUUGUAGACAAUGGAAGGGGACUCCUUCAGCGAUUAAUGUAACAGCUUAGUUAAGAUUUGAUUACCCAUGUUCUCUAAAGAGAGUACAGACAAAUUUAAACAUGGGAUAAGUUGAGAUCUAAUGAGCAUCUUCAUGGAGACAGUUUGGGCACCAUAAACUCCAAUGAACUAGGUAGACGAUAUUGAUUGCUGUAUUUGACUGGUAAACCAACUUUUCUCAGGAAAUAUUAAAUUUACAAUAUAUACCAAACAACUCCUGCAUUAUGAGUCUAAAUCACAUGAAAAUAGCACAUUUUAUUGUGAUUUCUUUAGACACCAAAAACUAUGAAGCUGAAGUUUGCAAAAUUUUGAAAAAAAAUGUUACAGCAAAUCUCAACUUACAAUUUUGGACUUUUAUGGAACUGAGUCAAAGUAGGUUGCAAAGAGAAAAUGCACAUGUGGAUUCAAUUGUAAAAUGUGUAAUAUAAUUUUUGAAUAAAAUAUGCACGUUAUAAAUAUAUCAGAUUAUAUUUAUAGUGUAUAAAUUGUAUAAUGGGGUUAGAACUAUUUAAUAUUUUUUGGCUUUCAUGGCUUAACAGACAGGAGUGUCAUUUGCUCCUUGAAAUUAAAACACACCCACACACAGUAACUCCCCACACUGUCUUUGAUGAAGAAUCUGGCCUUCUAGUUCAUUUAACACGAAAUAACAGAUUUGUGUUGAUGGUGCUUUUGUUCUUGAUAGUGAGAGAACUUGUUACUGAAAAAUUAGCUACUCACCCUCAAGCAAUCACUAACAUUCCAGUUCCUGAAUAGAAAAGGGGAGAGGAGAGCAGAUGGAAGCAAACAAAAAUUGUAUUAAUAAUACAUAACAAAGUGCUGCUAAAAAUGAUAUUUCAAUAGAGGAAAACAAUAGGAAAACUGCAGUUUUCAUUGGAUCUUAAUGUAUUUAUCAGUCUCUAAUGCUUCCAUCUUCAAGCAGUUCUCUUUUAUUGACACGACAACACAAAUUGCAGAAGUAAAUUGAAUCACAGACUCAGAAUGUAAAAAUCAAUGAGAAAUAAUUUUGUAGCACUAAAGUGAAUAGUGUAAUGCUAGGUAUUCAUUUAAUUAACCAUGAGCCUUUCCACAUAAUGCACAAUCAUUGCCAGCUUUUCAGCUCAUAGUUGUUCCAGGAAUAAUGGGUUUGGGAUUCAUCUUUAGAAAACCUGCAUUAAUAUUUGAAAGCGUUUAAAUCCAUUAGUGGGUCAUCUGAACACUGCAGGUCACUUUUACAUUGCUAAUUGAAACAAUAGUAAUGGGUUAUAAUCUACUGUCUAAUAAUGCCUGGAGUGUUUUACCGCUUUUAUAUCUGCAGAUUCCAGGAAAUAUGUAAAUUUGUUGCUGAACUGUUAUAAAAAUAUGGAAAUUUAAGCCGCAGACAUCAAAGCAUUUUUUCCUAAAAAAAACACCGC